GACGAACGCUGGCGGCGUGCUUAACACAUGCAAGUCGAACGGCAAGGCCCUGCUUUUGUUGGGUUCUCUAGUGGCGAACGGGUGUGUAACACGUGAGUAACCUGCCCUUUACUUUGUUUUAACUUCAGUAAACUUGGGCUAAUACCUGAUAGUAGCUCCUGCUGCAUGGUUGGUGUUGGAACGUUUCGGCGGUUGGGGAUGGACUCGCGGCUUAUCAGCUUUUUGGUGGGGUAGUGGCUUACCAAGGGUUUGAAGGGUAGCCGGCAUGAGAGGGUGACCGGAAAAAUUGGGACUGAGAUACGGAGCAGAGUGCAAAGGGAGGCAGGAGGGGGGAAAAUUGAAAAAUGGGAGGAAGCGUGAUGAAGAAAAGCAGGGAGAGGGAAGAAGGCCUUGGGGUUGAAAAAAGAUUUAGAAUGAGACGAAGAGGGAGUGACGGUAAUGGGAAAAGAAGCACCGGCUAACUACGUG
rnacentral:rRNA from 1 species